GACGAACGCUGGCGGCGUGCCUAAUACAUGCAAGUAGAACGCUGAAGGAGGAGCUUGCUUCUCUGGAUGAGUUGCGAACGGGUGAGUAACGCGUAGGUAACCUGCCUGGUAGCGGGGGAUAACUAUUGGAAACGAUAGCUAAUACCGCAUAAGAGUAGAUGUUGCAUGACAUUUACUUAAAAGGUGCAAUUGCAUCACUACCAGAUGGACCUGCGUUGUAUUAGCUAGUUGGUGAGGUAACGGCUCACCAAGGCAACGAUACAUAGCCGACCUGAGAGGGUGAUCGGCCACACUGGGACUGAGACACGGCCCAGACUCCUACGGGAGGCAGCAGUAGGGAAUCUUCGGCAAUGGACGGAAGUCUGACCGAGCAACGCCGAGUGAGUGAAGAAGGUUUUCGGAUCGUAAAGCUCUGUUGUAAGAGAAGAACGAGUGUGAGAGUGGAAAGUUCACACUGUGACGGUAUCUUACCAGAAAGGGACGGCUAACUACGUG
rnacentral:rRNA from 1 species